UUUCUGCAUGGCAGGGUGGUCGUUAAACAAAAGCACAUGGGAUCCAAGGAAGAAUUGUAUCCCAUGUUGGCUCAGUGACAGUAAGCAGAGAUUAAUGACUGAUAGAUGUUUUUGUAACUAAGAAGCUAUUAUCAGAGGUUCCACUAGAUUCAUUUCCUUGUUUUAUGUAGUGUACAGUAUAUUAAUGAUUUAGAGUACCAUCUCACACAUUAUGUCCAAUAAGUGCUCAGUGGGAUGUCGGUCACUUAAAUUCUUUGCUGCUGGCUCUGAGAAAUGCAUGGUGUGAGUUUGUGAUGUUUGUAACUUUCCCAAGCAGACAUAAAAGUGACAGUGACUACUUUUCUGCAACCUUCUCAGUACCAUAAAGGAUGAAAGGAACUCUUGAACAUCAUGCAGGAAAUUCCGAGGAGGCUUGAUCCAAAAAGCAGAGACAGCAAAAUAAAAACAUGAGGGGCCGCAAACCAAGAGAGAACAGAAACUAAGCACAACAGACAACUAGGAGCAACUGGUUGAGAUAACCAGGAACUGCAAUGUGCACAGCAAAGGAACAAUGGUGAUAGCAUCCUGUUACCGUUUUCCCACCUGAUUAUGCAUGGACAUCAUAUUGUAUGGGUAUAGGAAUCUCAUUUACUGACACAAUAGAUACAAGUGAUCUGUAUCCAGGACAACAAGAAAGAGUAGACCAGAUGCAGCAGUGCUUCCAAGGAGCAUGGACCUCUUGAGCUGAUGACUUUUGUGACCUCCUACACCUGCCAUUUUGUCAGUCCAUUUCCAGUUGAUCAAGACUGUUUUUUGUGAAAAUACAGUGCAAUUCAAAAAUGGGCUUCCCAAGCUUGAAAAAAAAGCGAAAAAAUGUAGAUGCUGGAAAUCCUCCUGAAGGGUUUCGGCCUGAAACGUCAACUAUACACUUUUCCUAGAUGCUGCCUGGCCUGCUGAGUUCCUCCAGCAUUUUGUGUGUGUUUCCAAAGCUUGAGCUGUUCAUAUCAGAGAAUAUAUACAGUAACCCACCUGAAAUUCUUACUCUCCACAGAUAUUUUCGAAACAAGAAACCCCAUGAUUGGAAACAUCUGAACCCCAAAGGCCCACUCUCCCACACACGAGCAGCAGCAGAAGCAUUGACCCAUCUGUGCCAACAGAAACACCGACCCCCUCUAGCCCCUACCGUGCAAGCAAAAAGCACCCCAAGUAGAUCUAGAGUCCAUCAAAAACUACAGUCCAUAACACAGCAUCUCAGACAGUCUCUCUCUCUCUCUCUCUCCGUCGAGCGAGAGAGAGAUCACUCCUGUAACAACAAGAGUGGAGACCAGCAAUUUGCUGUCCUGAUGUUACAAUCUUCUACAUCACUUCAUGUGGACCGUCAGGCUCUCACUCUCCAUCAAGAGAGAGGGAGGGUGAGGGGGGGAUGAUGUUGGAAUCACUGGAGUUCAGAGUAAGCAUACGAUGACAAUAUACAAAACCUCUGUCUCAAUGUUUCGGUCUCCCAUGAUGCUUCAGUCAGUGAAAUUGGCAAGGAACCGGCCGCUCCCCAAAGGUACAUGUUUCCCAGACUGUUCCUGGAGAUAGCUAAUGGCCAGGCCACACAGCCAGUCCAAAAACCCACCACUUGUGAAGAACCAUAGUUUGAAGUGUAGAUCACAGAAUCUGACAGAACCCCAACCACCUUGUAAAGAAAAGAAAGAUAUAAGAGAAGAAUAAGCUGUUUCAUGGACAAACUGGAAGAAGUCACCUGGGUCUACAAAAACCAGUGGCUCCGUCUUUCCUAGUUCCUCCUUCUUCAGGGUCAUCAGCAACCAGCCAUGCUGCAGCUUUUGGGCAGAGCACAGGCUAGAUUACUAAGGCAGUCUGAAGCAUAAGAUGAUAGGCAGUAUAGGUAUGCACAAAGAUGAUGUGGAUGGUUAGCUGAAAGCUAACUAUUGAGACUGUCAGUAACUUCAAAUGUUUCUGAUAUUUGUGACAAAAGCAAUACCCACAAAGUGCUGGAGAGGUUCAGCAGGUCAGACAGCAUCUAUGGAGAUAGAUGAAAAGUCGGCAUUUUAGGCCGAGGCACUUCAUCAGAACUGGAAAGGAAGGGGGACGA